UACGUAGGGGGCAAGCGUUGUCCGGAUUUAUUGGGCGUAAAGAGCGUGUAGGCGGCCUGAAAGGUCAGCUGUGAAAACUCGAGGCUUAACCUCGAGACGUCGGUUGAAACCAUCUGGCUAGAGUCCGGAAGAGGAGUGUGGAAUUCCCGGUGUAGCGGUGAAAUGCGCAGAUAUCGGGAGGAACACCUGUGGCGAAAGCGGCUCACUGGACCACAACUGACGCUGAGGCGCGAAAGCUAGGGGAGCAAACAGG
rnacentral:rRNA from 1 species